GGUUAAGCGACUAAGCGUACACGGUGGAUGCCCUGGCAGUCAGAGGCGAUGAAGGACGUGCUAAUCUGCGAUAAGCGUCGGUAAGGUGAUAUGAACCGUUAUAACCGGCGAUUUCCGAAUGGGGAAACCCAGUGUGAUUCGUCACACUAUCAUUAACUGAAUCCAUAGGUUAAUGAGGCGAACCGGGGGAACUGAAACAUCUAAGUACCCCGAGGAAAAGAAAUCAACCGAGAUUCCCCCAGUAGCGGCGAGCGAACGGGGAGCAGCCCAGAGCCUGAAUCAGUGUGUGUGUUAGUGGAAGCGUCUGGAAAGGCGCGCGAUACAGGGUGACAGCCCCGUACACAAAAAUGCACAUACUGUGAGCUCGAUGAGUAGGGCGGGACACGUGGUAUCCUGUCUGAAUAUGGGGGGACCAUCCUCCAAGGCUAAAUACUCCUGACUGACCGAUAGUGAACCAGUACCGUGAGGGAAAGGCGAAAAGAACCCCGGCGAGGGGAGUGAAAAAGAACCUGAAACCGUGUACGUACAAGCAGUGGGAGCCUCUUUUAUGGGGUGACUGCGUACCUUUUGUAUAAUGGGUCAGCGACUUAUAUUCUGUAGCAAGGUUAACCGAAUAGGGGAGCCGAAGGGAAACCGAGUCUUAACCGGGCGUUAAGUUGCAGGGUAUAGACCCGAAACCCGGUGAUCUAGCCAUGGGCAGGUUGAAGGUUGGGUAACACUAACUGGAGGACCGAACCGACUAAUGUUGAAAAAUUAGCGGAUGACUUGUGGCUGGGGGUGAAAGGCCAAUCAAACCGGGAGAUAGCUGGUUCUCCCCGAAAGCUAUUUAGGUAGCGCCUCGUGAAUUCAUCUCCGGGGGUAGAGCACUGUUUCGGCAAGGGGGUCAUCCCGACUUACCAACCCGAUGCAAACUGCGAAUACCGGAGAAUGUUAUCACGGGAGACACACGGCGGGUGCUAACGUCCGUCGUGAAGAGGGAAACAACCCAGACCGCCAGCUAAGGUCCCAAAGUCAUGGUUAAGUGGGAAACGAUGUGGGAAGGCCCAGACAGCCAGGAUGUUGGCUUAGAAGCAGCCAUCAUUUAAAGAAAGCGUAAUAGCUCACUGGUCGAGUCGGCCUGCGCGGAAGAUGUAACGGGGCUAAACCAUGCACCGAAGCUGCGGCAGCGACACUGUGUGUUGUUGGGUAGGGGAGCGUUCUGUAAGCCUGUGAAGGUGUACUGUGAGGUAUGCUGGAGGUAUCAGAAGUGCGAAUGCUGACAUAAGUAACGAUAAAGCGGGUGAAAAGCCCGCUCGCCGGAAGACCAAGGGUUCCUGUCCAACGUUAAUCGGGGCAGGGUGAGUCGACCCCUAAGGCGAGGCCGAAAGGCGUAGUCGAUGGGAAACAGGUUAAUAUUCCUGUACUUGGUGUUACUGCGAAGGGGGGACGGAGAAGGCUAUGUUGGCCGGGCGACGGUUGUCCCGGUUUAAGCGUGUAGGCUGGUUUUCCAGGCAAAUCCGGAAAAUCAAGGCUGAGGCGUGAUGACGAGGCACUACGGUGCUGAAGCAACAAAUGCCCUGCUUCCAGGAAAAGCCUCUAAGCAUCAGGUAACAUCAAAUCGUACCCCAAACCGACACAGGUGGUCAGGUAGAGAAUACCAAGGCGCUUGAGAGAACUCGGGUGAAGGAACUAGGCAAAAUGGUGCCGUAACUUCGGGAGAAGGCACGCUGAUAUGUAGGUGAAGUCCCUCGCGGAUGGAGCUGAAAUCAGUCGAAGAUACCAGCUGGCUGCAACUGUUUAUUAAAAACACAGCACUGUGCAAACACGAAAGUGGACGUAUACAGUGUGACGCCUGCCCCGGUGCCGGAAGGUUAAUUGAUGGGGUCAGCGCAAGCGAAGCUCUUGAUCGAAGCCCCGGUAAACGGCGGCCGUAACUAUAACGGUCCUAAGGUAGCGAAAUUCCUUGUCGGGUAAGUUCCGACCUGCACGAAUGGCGUAAUGAUGGCCAGGCUGUCUCCACCCGAGACUCAGUGAAAUUGAACUCGCUGUGAAGAUGCAGUGUACCCGCGGCAAGACGGAAAGACCCCGUGAACCUUUACUAUAGCUUGACACUGAACAUUGAGCCUUGAUGUGUAGGAUAGGUGGGAGGCUUUGAAGUGUGGACGCCAGUCUGCAUGGAGCCGACCUUGAAAUACCACCCUUUAAUGUUUGAUGUUCUAACGUGGACCCGUGAUCCGGGUUGCGGACAGUGUCUGGUGGGUAGUUUGACUGGGGCGGUCUCCUCCUAAAGAGUAACGGAGGAGCACGAAGGUUGGCUAAUCCUGGUCGGACAUCAGGAGGUUAGUGCAAUGGCAUAAGCCAGCUUGACUGCGAGCGUGACGGCGCGAGCAGGUGCGAAAGCAGGUCAUAGUGAUCCGGUGGUUCUGAAUGGAAGGGCCAUCGCUCAACGGAUAAAAGGUACUCCGGGGAUAACAGGCUGAUACCGCCCAAGAGUUCAUAUCGACGGCGGUGUUUGGCACCUCGAUGUCGGCUCAUCACAUCCUGGGGCUGAAGUAGGUCCCAAGGGUAUGGCUGUUCGCCAUUUAAAGUGGUACGCGAGCUGGGUUUAGAACGUCGUGAGACAGUUCGGUCCCUAUCUGCCGUGGGCGCUGGAGAACUGAGGGGGGCUGCUCCUAGUACGAGAGGACCGGAGUGGACGCAUCACUGGUGUUCGGGUUGUCAUGCCAAUGGCACUGCCCGGUAGCUAAAUGCGGAAGAGAUAAGUGCUGAAAGCAUCUAAGCACGAAACUUGCCCCGAGAUGAGUUCUCCCUGACCCUUUAAGGGUCCUGAAGGAACGUUGAAGACGACGACGUUGAUAGGCCGGGUGUGUAAGCGCAGCGAUGCGUUGAGCUAACCGGUACUAAUGAACCGUGAGGCUUAACCUU
rnacentral:rRNA from 1 species